UACGUAGGGGGCAAGCGUUGUCCGGAAUCAUUGGGCGUAAAGAGCGUGUAGGCGGUUCGGUAAGUCUGCCGUGAAAACCUGGGGCUCAACCCCGGGCGUGCGGUGGAUACUGCCGGGCUAGAGGGUGGUAGAGGCGAGUGGAAUUCCCGGUGUAGCGGUGAAAUGCGCAGAUAUCGGGAGGAACACCGAUGGCGAAGGCAGGUCUCUGGGCCAUAACUGACGCUGAGAAGCGAAAGCAUGGGGAGCGAACAGG
rnacentral:rRNA from 1 species